rnacentral:lncRNA from 1 species
GUGUUUUGUAAGAUUGGAAUACCAGUGUCAAAAAAAAAGAAAAUUCAUUGUAUGAUAAAAACACAGCAGGAAACACCACGAAAUUUGAUAGACGAAAACAGUGUUAUAGACUCUUUAUUGGCCUUAUCAUAUAUUUUUGAUAUUUUUCCCGACCCAUUCACAUAUUUUCAAACAUGAAAAGGUGACUUUUUCCAGCAGCAC